GAUGAACGCUAGCGGCAGGCUUAAUACAUGCAAGGCGAUGGGGCAGCAAUGUCACUGUCGUACGGGUGCGUAACGCGUAUGCAACCUACCUAUCACUGGGGGAUAGCCCGGGGAAACCCGGAUAAUACCGCAUAACACAGGGGCUCCUCAUGGAGAUAUUUGUUAAAGAUUUAUCGGUGGUAGAUGGGCAUGCGUUCGAU
rnacentral:rRNA from 1 species